AUUAUUGGUGAUUAUUUGGGUGAAAGAGAGGAGUUUCCUCUGAAAGUUAUGCAUGCAUAUGUUGAUUCUUUUAAUUUUGAAGGUAUGGACUUUGGUGAAUCAAUCAGAUAUUUCCUUAGAGGGUUUAGAUUACCUGGUGAAGCUCAGAAGAUUGACCGUAUAAUGGAGAAGUUUGCGGAGCGCUAUUGUAAAUGCAACUCAAACUCUUUUACCAGUGCAGAAACAGCUUAUGUGCUUGCUUACUCUGUGAUAAUGCUCAAUACAGAUGCACAUAAUAGCAUGGUGAAAGAUAAGGUACCCUGGGAAUCUCUCUGAAGUGUUUUUCUCCUAGGUGUAUGAUCCAGUGCAUAUGACAAGAGGGGUUGCUCUAUGGUUAGCAACCCCCACUUCCAACCGAGAGGUUGUGAGUUCGAGUCUCCCCAAGAGCAAGGUNNNNNNNNNNNNNNNNNNNNNNNNNNNNNNNNNNNNNNNNNNNNNNNNNNNNNNNNNNNNNNNNNNNNNNNNNNNNNNNNNNNNNNNNNNNNAGUUCUUGGAGGGAAAGAUGCCGGGGGUCUAUUUGGAAACAGUCUCUCUACCUAAGGGUAGGGGUAAGGUCUGCGUACACACUACCCUCCUCAGACUCUAUUAAGUGGGAUUAUACUGGGUUGUUGUUGUUAUUGUAUGAUCCAGUGCAUGUUUUCCUAAAUUCUCCCAUUAUUGUCUGCUACUUUCAUUCAUUUCUACCCUUAGGGGCGGUUUGGUUUGAAACACGUUACAUGAAUUAAUAGUGCAUGGAUCGAAAAUUUGGGAAAAUGUAAUUACCAAAAAAAAUUAAAAUAAUACAGGGAUUGUAAUAUGGGGUUUAUUUCCUGGUUAGAUGUUUACAAAUUCCUGGUUAGUUUGUUAUAUUACAAAUUAGUACACAAUCUAUAAUUUAAAAUAUGAGUUUUACCUUUUCAACAAAAUAAAAGUUUUCUACUAUUAUGAGGGUUAGUUUUGUAAUUAGUGCUUAUAUUCAUGUAUUACCGAUGGCCACAUUCUUACCUCUCACUCUUUUCCACGUGAAAUAAUAAUAGCUUUCCAGCCAACUUAUGCAAGUAUUAUUUAUGGAAAGAAAAAGUAGCAACCAAAUAUUGUAUCAGUUAAUGUGGAAUUGUGUGGCAGACAUUAAGGACCUGUUUUUCCAUACAGAAUUUUUCCUUUUUUCGAUUCUUUUUUUUUUUCCAACACUUGUUUGGUUAUACAUUGGAUUGAAUUUUGAAAAAUAAAUUUGAAGAUGUGUUUCCAAAUUUGAAAAAGAGGGUUUUACCACUUUUUCAUGUAAAAUUUAUUUUUCCUCACAAAACUGCAAUUUUCAUGUCCAAACAUAAUUUCAAGUUCCAAAUCUUUUUUCUACUCUAAAAAUUACUUUUUUCAUAAAUCACAAUUUUUAUGUCGAAACGCCUGCUAAAUCUCCUCAUGACCCAACCAAAUGACUAGCUUACUGGCUUGUUGAACCUGUGUCACCCGAUCACAUAGAUUAGUUCAUAAAAUACAACUUAUUAAACUUUAGUUCUUUUGCAAUGGGCCGGAGCUCAAAGUUACUGUAGUCAUUGCAAAAUAUUGUCCUUGAACAAAUAUAUUCUUAUUCGAGAGGUUGGUAUUGAAUUUGUCUAUGUUUUCUUGAGGAUGACAAUAAGAAAGAAAAAUAUGUCCAGUAUAUAAGUUUCCAAUAGUAUUAUUAGUGGCCAUAUUGGACAAGGAUUAGAGUAUAAGAGUUGUGACUUAUGACUAUGAGAAGAGCUCAAGACCAAUAUUGAAUAAAAGACAUAAUGUGCUUGAGAGUUGGCUAUAUAUACACCUUGAAAUUUUUUGAGCUUAUCACAUUCAUUAUUGUUUAUAGGAGAAUAGUGUAAUGGUUGAUUGAAGGUGCCACAUGCACAUCUCAAUAGCUUUCAAUCUGGGGUGUCUGUUAUUCAUUCAUUCACUCAUUCCAUUCUUUGGUAUUAACAACUUAGCCAAUUUUGGAGGCAAAAUCACUAGGUGAUUUCUUCCCAUUUGUCCAAGCCUUCGUGGACAGAGUUAUCCGUUACUUGUACUGGUUGGAGAUAGUAGGUGCUCCAUAGAGAUGCACGCAAGCUGGCCCAGACACCAUGAUUAUAAAGAAAACAAAAACAAGUUCGCCAAUUUUCCCUGCUGUCAGCUUAAUGCAGUGAAAGAUCAAUAGACUAUGCAAAUUUGACAUUCUAGGAAUAGGUUAAAUAGUACAUAACAUGCAACACGCUAAUGGCGAACCCCAAUAGAUAAAGGGGCUGUUCAAGCCUCUUGUCCUUCCUUAUGAGUUUUUACUCGGCAUUAAAGUAUAUAAUAAGAAUUCUAGUGAAUGAAAAAUAAUGGAGUAAUAUAAAAUAAAACCCUCGAAAUAAGAUGGUUAGUGAUUUUGUGCAUAUAAAUUCAUAGCUAUAUUGACAGCUGAGAAUUUGAGUAAAAGAGGAUAACAUAUGCCAACGGGUGCUUCAAGUGCAAAUGUCUAGGUGAAGAUGUGGACCACCUCCUCCUACGUCAUUGGGUGACAACUUGCUUGUGUUUUGAGAUGGUUUGGGAUGCAGUAGGCAAUGUCGGGCACAAUGGAGGAGGCACUGGCCAGUGGGAAAUUCAGAAGGAAACAGAACUUGAUGAGUUGGGAAUGUUGCCCCUCUAGCACUUAUGUGUUGGACCUAUGGAAGGAAAGAAAUAAGAGAGCUUUUUAUAGGAUAGAAAACAACUACGUGCAUUUGAGGAAUAGCCUCUCCUUCCGAGUUUCUUUUAGAUGCACCAAUAGAAGAUUGAGUGUCAUUCUUAGAGAAUCAUAUUAUGUUGUAGAUUCUCUACUUUUUAGUAUGCUGCUAGCAUACGGGAGAUUUUCCCAUUAGUAUAAAAAUAAUUUUCUUAUGAAAAAGAUCCAUAGUAUAAGGAAGAUGGCGUAGAACGUUCAAGGAUAGUGAUGCUUAGCUAAAAUAAGCUCAAAAGGUCAAAUUGUGUCAAUGUGUAUGGACUCUAAGAAUUUAAAACCUUGUAAAGCUAUAUUUGGAUGAAUUUGCUACUACCCUAAUUAACAAUAUUUUUAGUUGAAUAUGAAUUCUACAUGUAAUAGAUUCUGUUUGUGAAUAUAAAUUUUGAAAUGAAGACUUCUAAAAAGUUUUCCGUAUUUGUGAUUUUUAUAUAAUAUUAACAAGAAUGAUGUCCCUUAUCAAAGGGAAUAUUAAGAAAAGUUAUGUCAAACCAGAUAGAGCUUCGCAGUGAAUGUUAAAUAUCAUUCUGUUAGCUUAUAAUUAAUGAUCUUGUAUUAGGAAAUUCAACGGCGAUCUUGAGUUUGCAUGAAAGGAUAGUGUACAAGUCACGGAUAGUCUACAAGUAACGGAUAUGAGUUACCAAUUAUUUUUGAUAUUGACUGAUAUGGUUACCAAUAGUGCUGCAACCAAUUAUGGGGGAGGCAACAUCUUCAUUUUCCAGUAUUUGAGACUUUGAGAGCACAUAGUUAUUGGGUUGGAGAGUAUCUUUUUUGUCUGUUUUAGUCUUUUACAUUUAGUCUAUGCACUUGGUCAUCUUAACUUAGUUACACAUGUAGAUGUUACUUGUAAAAUAAUGUGAUUGGUUUUCUUCGGAAUUAACUGUUGUAUUUCUCCAUUUAGAUGACAAAAGCUGAUUUCAUCCGGAACAAUCGAGGCAUUGACGAUGGGAAGGACUUACCUGAAAAUUAUUUGGGGGCUCUCUAUGACCAAAUAGUGAAAAAUGAGAUAAAGAUGAAUGCAGAUUCUUCUGUGCCACAAAACAGAUUGACGAUGGGAAGGACUUACCUGAGGAUUAUUUAGGUGCUCUCUAUGACCAAAUAGUGAAAAAUGAGAUAAAGAUGAAUGCAGAUUCUUCUGUGCCGCAAAACAAGCAGGGUAACAGUCUUAAUAAGCUUUUGGGUUUGGAUGGUAUACUGAAUCUAGUAUGGAAACAGAGAGAAGAAAAACCUCUGGGUGCCAAUGGGGUUCUUGUGAGGCAUAUUCAAGAGCAGUUCAAAGCAAAAUCUGGAAAAUCGGAGUAAGAUUUAAUUCCACAUGUUGACUUUUGAAUCUACUUUCUGGCUGCAUAAUUACCAAUUGUCAGACGAUAGGAAUCUAACUCUUUCUUUACCAUCUGCGUACGGAUUGAUAUUUUCUUUCAAUGAGUCGCUGCAGUCUGUAGAAUUGCGAAACUAUCACAUAUACGGACUAUUGAAAGGAUUGUGUGCCUUAUAGUCCCCAUACAUAUGAUUUAGUAUUCUCAAGCUGGCCUCAUAUGUCUUCUUAGCAUGGAUUUUCUUGUUCAGAUGGAAAAGAAUGCAUAAAAUUAUAUUAUGUCCUGUUGCAGGUCUAUCUAUUAUGUCAUUGCAGAUCCAGCUAUAUUGAGAUUUAUGGUAGAAGUCUGCUGGGGUCCCAUGCUUGCUGCUUUCAGUGUCACCCUAGACCAGAGUGAUGAUAAGAAUGCCACUUCUCAAUGUUUGCUGGGGUUCAGGCAUGCUGUGCACAUUACAGCUGUGAUGGGUAUGCAGACGCAGAGAGAUGCUUUUGUCACAUCUAUGGCAAAGUUCACUUAUCUUCAUUGUGCUGCAGAUAUGAAACAAAAAAAUGUUGAUGCAAUGAAAGUAAUUUCCAUCUCCCUCAAUUUCUGUCAUGUCAGUUUACCAUCUUAUGCUCAGACGGUAGCAAACUUGCAACAAAUGAAGAGUAACCCUACAUAAUAAUACACGCACGCCACAUACCUUCUUUUUCUAUGAAGAAAAAUAAUUAUAUUAAUAUGGGAAAAAUUUCUGCAUACAACAAGUGCACCAAAAGGUUGAGAGUAAGCUCUACAAACUACACAUCAUUUUCGAUACAAACAAGAACCUUGUCUAUGCACUAUAAAAGACCAAAAGCAAGAAACUAUUCCUCAAUUGUACAAGUUACUUUCAAUUCCAUCAAAAGCUCUACUAAUUUUGGAGGACAAUUCCUUUAUGCAUCUUUUGGACUUUAUGGCUGGAAAGAUACAAGAGAUGCUUUGAAGGGAAAAGAAGACAUAUCUCUAGAAUUAAGAAUUAAUGUCUUCUAUUUCUGGUGUAAGACUAGUAUUUUGGAGAUGUAGAUCAAUUUUGGUCUUCAUUGAGAUGCUUGCGAAGUUAUUGUAACUGGCUUUGUUGGAGCCUUCUUUCAUGUGGUACUUUAUUUAAUGAAACCUUUACCUUAUCCAAAACUAAUAAUAAUAAUUCCAUCAACAGUUCUACUAAUUUGAAACUCAUGCAGAAUAACAUCCUUCUAAUUGCAUGCAGACAAUAAUGUCGAUUGCCAUUGAAGAUGGGAAUCAUCUUCAUGAAGCUUGGGAGCAUUUUUUGACGUGUCUGUCUCGAUUUGAGCAUCUGCAGCUGCUGGGGGAGGGUGCACCAUCUGAUUCCUCUUUUUUUACUACCUCGAACUCUGAAUCUGAGGAAAAGAUAUUGAAGUCAGCUGUAUUUCCAUCACUGAAGAAAAAAGGGACACUCCAAAAUCCAACUGUUGCUGCUGUUGUUCGAGGCAUUGAAGUCAGCUGGAUUUCCAUCACUGAAGAAAAAAGGGACACUCCAAAAUCCAACUGUUGCUGCUGUUGUUCGAGGGGGUUCAUAUGACAGCGCAACUGUUGGAGCUAACUCUCCAGUAUUGGUGACUCCAGAACAGAUAAAUAACUUCAUUUCAAACUUAAACUUACUUGAUCAGAUCGGCAACUUUGAACUAAAUCACAUAUUUGCUCAUAGCCAAAGGCUGAACAGUGAAGCAAUAGUUGCUUUU
rnacentral:lncRNA from 1 species